CUCCGCCGCCCCUUCGCGGGCGGCCAGGAACAGCGGCGUCUGCUCCUGCGAGGGAGGAAGCCGGCGGCGAGGUCCCCAAGCCCACAUCACCUUACUCUUUGCCAAACCCUAGGAGUUAGGUCGCCGAAGGAGGACCAGAGGAUGCUUUGGCCCAGCUUUACUUCCACAUUUGCUCCCUGUUCUCUUCGGGACCCCACUGUGCACUGACCUGGCAGACCUCCCGGGCAUCGGCAGCCACAGCGGUGUGAAGAGGGGUGCGCCCCGUUCUGUCUGGCUGGUUGGGGUUGGCUCCAGACUCCAGGAGGCGGCGUGCGGCAGUUGGUCGGGAGAACCGGGCAGCCAGGUGCAGGGGGGUCUCCCCGGUGCCCACGGUGGCUGAUGGCAAAGGAUUUUCUGAUUCUAAGGGUCAGAGGGAUUUGUCCUGGCCCGGGUUGGCUCGAGUACCAGGCCCAUGGGUGUCCACGUCAGGGCUGUCCAUCUCAGCUUCCUGGGGAGGAGUCAGCAGGGCUGCCUGGGGGAGUUCUCGACAGUCACCACUCAGAGACCAGAGCUGGCACUUGGAGGGCAAGAGUCCCCUCCCUGAGCCCCAGUCCCUCCACAUUCUCACUUGAGGCCGAUGCUGUCCUCGCCCAGUGGGGGCCGGCGUCGGCGGGGAGCUGGCUGAGUCCGAGGCCUUCGAGCGAACCCAGGGGGCAGCCAGAGGGCCCCAUGCUCUCGGCGCCUCCGCCGGAUGAGCUGAAGGAUGAGAAGAGCCCCAAGAGCCAGGAGAAGCACCCCGGCCACUGGCGAGCACAGCACCGGCCAGGGAAGCUGGUUGGCGGGGGGCUCUGGUGGGAGAGACAGAAGGAGGCCGUUCCGGGAGUGCUGAUGCCCUCGGCCUAGCAGAGAGGGUGCGCCGAGACCGAGGCUUGCGGGAAGCCCAGAGGGAGGCUAGCACAAAGCCCUUGGGAAGAUCAGGAAGGAGACUGGAGCGAAGGGGCCCCGGGAAGAUCCCAGCUAGAGAAAGCGGGUAACAAGGGUGGGGCCUUCAAAACCCUGCGGAGAGGAGGAGAGAGAUUGGCAAGGGACCUUGCGUAAUUCUCCCCACUUCCUCUCAAGACACUCCUGGGUAAGAUAACUCGGAGGGUCCCAGAGUGUCCAUCUGGAAGGGGCCUCAGAACAAGUUGAUCAUUUUAUAGAUGUUGCAACCAAGUCCCAUGUUUUUUCCACACAAUGACAGUACGUGGUGGUGACAGCGGACGAACCACAGCUCUGCAGCCAGCUGCAUGGACUGUAGCAUCGCAGUUCAAGUCCCGGCAGACUGGAGUUAAUGAGUGUUAACUGAACUACUGUCCUAAUCCUUGGAAAUAGGACUGUAUACGCUCUCUUCCUCUGGAAGGGGGCAGGACAGAGGAGGACAUAAGUACCUGCAAGUUAUUAAUGUUGUCAUUCUUGGGUUUGGUUCAUGGGUGUUAUAUUGUAAGAAUAAAAUAUAUAGAAGGCCAUGCACA